rnacentral:tRNA from 1 species
AUAGGCGUAGUUUACUAAAACACUGAACUGCAAACUCAGAAUCACGGGACACUCCGUCGCCUAUU